rnacentral:tRNA from 3 species
GCGGAUGUGGUGUAAUGGUAACAUACUAGGCUCAUAACCUAGAGUAGUCGUUCGAAUCGAACAUCCGCA